CAAAAAAAAAAAAAAAAGAGGAAAAAGAAAAAGUCAUGAAGAACAUCCAGGUCUCAGCCAUUUUCAUGUUACUGCUUCUUCUUUAUGCUGCUGGCAAAGAGGUAAUGGCAAAGAAUCCACCAGGCAAAACAUGCGCUGAUACUAUAAAAUUAGCAGGUUGCAAAAAUGAUUACUGCUUGAAGUUGUGCAAGCAGACAUAUGGAGAUAACAUCUACGUAAAAGGAGCAUGUUUUGGUGAUGGUUGCCUUUGCUCGCACCUAUGUUAAAAGUCUUGUCAUCCGAGAGAGAUUCUACUAUUCUCAUACAUCUCAUAUAUAAAAUCUAUUAUUAAAUAUAUAUUGAAAGUUAUAAAAAAAGAUAAAAUAAUGAAAGGUAGCUGGAUCUCAAGGCAGAUUGAAUUUUGAUUCUCCAGUCGUAAUCCUUCAACCUUAUUUCUAUA